UUUUUUUUUUUUUUUUUUUUUUUGCUGUAACGAUAACAUUUGUAUAAUCUAAUCUAUCAUACUCUACAGGAAGGGGGAGUCUAAAAAGACUCUAUAAGGGAUUAGCAAGUUUACAGAGUCGACUAGACUAAAAGGGUGUUCUGACAACUCCUUUAGAUAUUUUCACAACAAAUGGAGUUUGAACCCUCGACCUACAAUCUAAAGAGGGAUUUAAUCUCUUUUUUAUGGCCACUGAAUCAAAGCUCGGUGGUUUAGUGCUUGCAUUUUACUGGUUGGUGCAUUUUUAUUGGUUGGGCUUUUUUCUUUAAAAUGUCUUUUCCAAUUAAAUUGAUUCCAUAUAAUUAUCAUUAUUACUGUCAUCAUUCAUUUCCUUUUCUCAAAGAAAAAGUAUGUACUUUUCUGAUUCUUAUGAUCUUUUAAUGCUUGCCUUCUUGAGAGAGAGAGAGAGAGAGAGAGGGGGGCAAAAAAAUUACUUCUCUUAUUUGUUUCAUUUAUGACCAUUUCUUGAAAAAAAGUGACUAGACAAUAGUGAAAUUAUUUGCAACAGAUUAAUUUGUUUAAAAUUUCGAGCACCUAAGUAGGAUGUUUCGGUUCAAAACCCCUACUCACACUUAAAAAAGAAAGGUUCCGAGCACCUCUUAUUUAUUUAUUUAGUCGUGUUUUCGCUCUCAAGUCACGUCUUAAGAAGGUUUGCAUAACAUUACUCAAGUAUAAUCUCUAUAAAAUUUUUCCAUAUAUAUAUAUUUCUUGAGAAUAUGAGAAAUUAAUAUACAAAAUGGCGAAUGCAAUAACUCAUAUGUUUGGACUUUGAUGGUUACAUGUCUUGCAUAAUAAAUUCUGAAGAACAAAUGAGAAGGGGCCAACCCAUUUCUAGAAUUAGUUCUAUUAUAUAUUUAUCUAGAGGUAACAGACGAGAGGACACAUUCAAUUUCAUUUGAGGAGUGAAACUUAACAAGUCAAAAGAGAUAGAGAGAUUUGAACCAAAGACUCCUAACACUUGAGGUCUUGCAUUACUCAGAAAUAUCAAUUUGAAAAAGUUAUGUGAUGAUUUUUGGCAUACGAGUCUUGAAUUGGUAUAAUACAUAAAACAUAAUAAUGUACUACAACACUAUAUUACUUUUUAUCUACAAAAAGAAAAAGAAAAAGAAAAAGAAGUGCGUGAUUUUAUAAAAUUGUACCUCAAAAUUUGUUGCUGAGGCCGCGUCGUACGCAUGCACUCACUUUCCAUAACAAAAAAUUCGUUGCUAAAGAUAAGGUCAUUGACCAGCCAUACCCACAAAUUUUCGAGAAUUUAAUGAAUUGGAAUAUUGCAUGCCUUUACUUUUGACUACUUAUGAAUUAUGAUGUGACCAAGCAAAAGGGUCUUCUAGAAAAAUUUUAUUUUCCUAUAGUUUUUCUAAGUUAGCAUUUUUUUUCUUCUUUGGUCCUUAAUUUGCAUAGGUACCUUGCCACGGGAAGAACAUGUUUUAUGAGAUUUUUUUUUAAAAAUUCUUUAAUCUCGAAACUCCGUAAUUUACGUUGAAUUUUUUUACAUCAAUACGUCUCUCACCUUAAUGAUGCCUAGUCAACCAAGACCCAUUUUUUGCCCUACAAUCAAUGCAUCAACAUUCGUAUGCUACUAGCUGACCUAUAAACUUGGUAGAAAGCCACUAGUGUCGGAGACACAAUGUGGCAAUAGGGGUGAAUUUGGAGAUUAAAGAGCCAUAUAUAAUUAAGUGGUUUUACAAUAUGCAUGAAAUCGAUAGUUUUUUUUUUUUGUAAUUAACAUUGUUAAUUAAGAAAUAAAAUUUUGAAUAUUUAUUCCUACGUACAAUAGCUGCAAACUAAACUUAUUGAAUCAAAUAGAGUACUAUUUUUUCCGAGAACGAAGAAAAAAUAGCACAAUGAUUACACCUAUUAUACAAUGCUACAUAUAAAAGCACAAAAAUUACUUCUACGGUAUGAUGCUACAUAUGGCUAGAAGAAGAAAUUAAUAAAAAAAUAAAAUUAGAGAUGAGAAAGAACUGUGAUAUUUUUUUUAAAAGGAAAAAUCAAGCGAUGGAAGGCAACAAAGUUAAACAAAAUUCGGAGAGGGGUGACAAAUAAGGAGUUAAAAUCAAAUUUUAAAAAUUGUUAUACGUAAAACAGUAAAUUUUCAGAAGUUAGGGCGGGAAAGGGGAGGGGGAGCGCCCCUAUCCUCAGCCCCUUUUCUCGCGCCAAGAAUAAAAUUACCAUCAACCCUGAUACAAAAAAGGCCACCUACAAUCACAUAAAAAAUAUAAAUGUAAACAAAAUACAAGUACUAAGGAAUUUUAAUAUAUAUGAAAACAAAAUACAAGUACUAGCUAGGGAGAAAAAUUCUUGACUAAAUGAGGGAGAAUCUCAAAAGCAAGAUGGUGAGGACCAUUUGGGGUUCGUAACAAGGUUAGGAUGCGAAGCAAACUUACGCAAAUUAUUCCUUUCUUAAGAAAGGUGAGGCGUGGGACUCGCGCCAUGCAGACUUCUUGAAGAAGAAAAAAAAAAUGAUGGCCCAAACCCUGUAAAUGUGUUUCCACUUUAUUGAAAUGAUGAAGAGGUCCUUUUCUUUUGAAAUGAUGAAGAGCAUAUUGGAACCUUAUACUUAGUGCAAGGUUUGCCACCAUGAUUUCCACAAACCUUUCACUUUUUUUGAAAUAAAGAAAUCUACCCCCUUUUUUUUGUUUUUGUUUUUGUUUUUGUUUUUCCCCUCUCUCUCUCGACCACGGUCACAUCAUUUAGAGUUACAUGGUUGGAAAUGCAUAAUUGGAUGAAUUCGAGAUUGGUCCUUCCAGAAGGAGUUAUACUAUACACGAAGGUAUAGUUGGUCACUUCAAAAAAAAUUAUGUAUGGAAUGCCCCGAAAAGAAUGCUCCAAUAUGGUACUUUAAACUUUUUAAAUGUCUCUAUCAUGUCUGUCUGCGAAAAAGUACAAAGGUGAAUCUAGGGCUUGUCGUCGUGCAUAUGUUCAAUCAGCAGAACAUUAUCAAUCAUCAGGUACUUUUCUUAUUUUGAAAGAGUAUAAAUAAUAUAUUUAUUUAAAGCACGUGUGAACAUGACAAUAAUACUCUAUAUAAUAUUUGAUAGGCCUUAGCAUUGAUAAUAACCAAAUUGACCUUCUACUUCUGUAGUUGACUUUUUGCCUCUUAACGGGGGAAAAACAAAAAAGUUUAUAAAGAGAAAAAAAAAAAACUCACUCCUUUCCAAGAUCAUGGCAUGCCAUUAGCGUGCCAGACGAUUUAUAGUAACUCUUACAGAUCACUUUCAAAGUCGCUCAGCUAGCAAUAUAAAAUCUAAAGAACUUAAGGGAGCACUUAACUUAGAAACUACUAUUAUCAAGAUUUUAUUAUUCUUAAAGUCUUUAAAAAUAAAUCCAAGACAAAUGAAGUGUCGAUAAUUAAAAAAAAAAAUGAAUAUCAAUGAUGCUACUCCAAAAACUAAUGCACCCGCAGUAUAUUUCCUAUUGGUUCUUCGACUUUUAUGUUUGAAAAUGUAAAAAUUGGGGAAGGACUGAUGAUGAAACUAGUAGUUUCAAAUUCGAGCAUUACUAGUAGGUUGUAGGACGAGGAAACUUUUUAUAUUGGCUUUGAUUUUUCAAAGCAUGUACAUAAAUGAUGAUCUUUGUCCCACAAAAAUGCUAUAUAGUCCCUUAAGGUAGAGAUGGCAAAUGGGCGGCGGGACUUAAUUGUGAUUGCAAAAUACGGGUUAGACCCAUUUUAAUUACACCAAAAUAUUCAAUAAAUUCUAUUUUAUUUUUUUAAACUCUUUUUUUUUUCCUUAAUCAAAUGCCUCAAUAUUGCUUUUUUCUCUAAUAUCAUUGAGUCAGUUUGUUUAAACUUGUAAAAGUUUUACACUUCUCUUUAUAUAUAUACAUACAUAUACAUAUGACAAUUCUUCAAACCAAACAAAAUUUACUAGAUAUCAAAUUCAUAAAAGACCAACUCUCAUACAAAUAAAAGUACAUAGAUGUGAGCUAAUCAGUACUUUAUAUCAAUAAACGACCAGUUUUCUAGUCUAGUUUUAACAUGAGGAAGCAAAUUAACCCAAACUCCCACACACUCACAAGUACAAUAGCAGUACUUUUGUCUUUAAUUCCACCAUCAAAUACACACACAAACAACAGUGCACUAGUGCUACUAGACGCACACACUAUUGUCGACUGUUUUGGAGAAUUUGGUGGCUUUCAACUUGUAGGCAACUCAACCUAAUUAAUUAGGUUUUAGGGGGAAAGAAAGACCAUUCUAAGUUCCAACUAAGUCCUAAUUAGAUCCAUAUUUUAGAUGGAUAUAUUUCCCCCGAUUAGGUCCAGUCCCAUAUUUUACAUAUUGAUCCCGCUCAAAUUAAGUUUGGGUAUGGGAUCCGACUGGAUUUUGGGACUCAUUGCCACCUCUACUUUUGGGGUACCGGUCCCUCGGUAUAUACAAGGAUAAUAGGUUAAAUUUUAAAGUUUAGAAGUUGUUAAGGGCUGAAGUUUAAGGGGAAUUACCCUUAGGGCCCGUACUCCUUCUGUAAAGUUUCAUGGCCAACCCUCACUUAAACCCAUUACGUGGGCUAAUCCAAACCAUGCAAAGGCCAAUCCAGUCUUUUACCGAUUUCAUGUUAGUUGGACUUUUGAACGAAUUCACCAAGGCUGCUGUAAACAACUUAAGUUAUGGGUGAAAGUCCACCUUAGGAGGUUAAAAAAAAAAACAAACAAGAAAUGUAGGCCUGGGCCUGAUUCGCCUGAUACAAGAACAACCAACCAAUCAGAUAAGAGAGAAUCAAGCCAAUCAACAGAAUAAGCAUCCAAAUUACAAUAAUGCAAAUUGUGGGUGGGGAGCUGUAAAGUAGCGGUUCAUCUGGAAAAAAAAAAAUUGAAGAAUCCUUGGCUCGUGGAAGCUGUGAAAAGCAAUAAUAAUAGAUACAAAUCAAAGGCGUGAUAUCAGCCGUUGCUCAUCAAUUUAAUUGGGAAGUUUUUCUUGUCAACAUCUACAUCGACUAGGCUAAUAUAUACUUACUAUAUAAUACUCCUACUUUUUGGGAAUUUCUCCGACCUUCCACAACACAGACUCGUCUUCGUGGAUUUUGCUGUCCAGAAUUUUCCACGUAAAACAGCCAGCAUUCGAUGCCGUGAACGUUAGCUCUACGUAGGUGAAGGUGGAGACGGACACGUACCUUUCUGUUUUGGAAUUUCCACCUCUUAUUCCCCGGACCCGGCAAAAUAUGCCAUUUGCUUGCGUUCUGAAUAUUCGGCCAACUUGGCGAAUUGGCCAGUAGCCACCCCCCCCAUCGCAUCGCGUGAAGCAGAAUCGUAGAUUUCACUGCAUACAGUUAGGAGUUCAAAUCUUUAACCUUACAGUAAAAUCUAAAGUUUAAAGGAUGUAUAAUAAUGCGUCUACUUGAUUCAUUAGUAGGUUAUAUAUAGUAAGAUAAUUAAGCAUUAUGGACCUUAUUUUUGUGUGUGUGUGUGAUUACUAUGCCACUAUAAUUAGUCAAAUUAUUCCUUGUAUGAUUACAAAACUGCGCAAUUAGUCUCUAGGAAAAUAGAAGUACGAAGGGAAAAUUUUUUUUUUAGGGCAUGAACCCUACUUCAUAUAAAGAUUUUUGACCUUGAUGAAACGGCAACCACAAAUAAAAGAAGAAGAAUUUUGUUUCUCUGUGGAAAGUAGUUAAGAUUUUCCAUGCAUGUAUAUCAUGUCCGUUUCGUUGAAUUGUGAUUUUUCGCAGAAGAAUUUGUAUUAUGCACGUGUGAGGUAAUUACUCCUUAUGUCAUUAUAUAUAUAUAUAAUACUCCCUCCGUCCCUCUUUGAUAGUCCUGUAUUUUUUUUUCAUCUGUCCCAAAUUGUAGUCCACUUUUCAAUUGAAGAAUGUAGUUGUAUUUUAAUUUUUCUAAAAUACCCUUAUUCAAUGUAAGUAGUUGUUACUGUAAACCUACCUUAUUUAAUGAGAGUUGAUUCUUUUUUUAUCAUCAAUUCAAGUUCCCAUAAAGUUGUACCAUAUUUAAUAUGAGGGUAUUUUAGGAAAAUAUCAAUCUAAAUUUACUUUUCCAAUAAAAUUAAUUAUUUUUUUUAAAACUGUGUGAAAAAAGAAACAAAACUAUCAAAUUGGAAUGGAGGGAGUAUAACAUUUCUUUCCAAAAUUUUUUGAACAAUAAGAAGACAAUAAUAAGCCAAUCAGAUGCAGACACUAGGCGGCGACAAUGAUUAUAAUAAUAUUAUUAAUCAAAUCACAAAUGAGAGUCGGAUCGACAACCAUUUUUUGUCCGCAAUUUUGGAGGAGCAAUCCAAUUUACGUUUGACAAGCUGUUUUGUUUUGUUUUUUUUUCCCAAUUUCUUGUAGGGCAUUUUAGGAUGUCACAUUGUCAAGGUCCAAUCUUUUUAAUAUGUAUAAAUUUGGACAAAAAGUAGCUGUACUGAAUGACACUCCUACCGAAUCAAAAAAGGACAGAAAACGUAUUGUCAAAUAUUUGUUGGUCUUCAAAGUUCAAUCACUUCGGAAAGAAUAAGAAAAAAAAAAAAAAAAAAAGGAGUGGAGGAGGUUUCAUGUGUAGAAAUUCAAGAGCAAAGAGGAAGGCAAUCUCAACUUAAUUUCUCUCCUUCUAACUACUACAAUUAAGUUGAAAGCAAAAUAUCAGGGAAAAUAUUUUUCAACUGUUUGUGAUAUAAUUAAAUAAUAAGAAGUGCAAGAAAAGCAAUUAAGUGAUUGCAUAUUACUAGUACUAAUAACUAUUUCAUCAGCUAAGAAAAUGGGAUACCAAAUUAAAGCCCCACAAAAUACAUAUAUACCAAAUGAAAAUGAAAAAUCCGAUCUACCAAAAUUAGAUGGUAUAGACAAAAGCUCUGCAUGGUGUAGCCAUUAUUGCUACCAAAGGGGAUAUUAGGUUUUUUUUUUUCCUUUUUUGUAAAAUAUAAAAAAGACUUUUAUUGGGUUCAUCCCACCGGUCACCGCGAGAAAAUCUACCGUACACCGACAUUGCCAGCCUAUCAAAGCUGCCAAUCGAUGCUGCCUGUUAGUCGGACGGGGCACGUGACUCACCAAUUUUCUCAACGUGCACGUGAGGUUACGGCCACCUUAAGUAUUUUUUUUUUAAAAAUUAUUUGUGUAUUCCCAUUUUUUGUCAAUUGCACUUUCAUUAUUAUAAUUUUUAUUUAUUAGAAUGUAUGAUAAAAUAAAUGAUAAGAGUGUAAUUAAUAAAAAAUUGAGUACAAAUAAUAUUUUCCUUAUUUUAUCAUAACAUUAUUGUUACACCAUCCUCUCAUGACAUGACCAAAUUUACCCUUCACUUCAAGGACAUGGAAAAUUGAUUUCAUUUCCAAUCCCAAUUUUUAAAGUUUGACUUAAUUCGCAGCCCAAUAAAUGUUCUAAAACUUGCUUCCUUUUUUUUGGGGUGUGAAUUCGAAGCUCUAACAAUGAGUUUGGAUUUAAGAAUAUUUUGAAAAAACUUUUUUAUAUAUAUAUUAUAACACAUUAAUGUAAUGUUUGUGAGAUGAAAAUGUGAUUGGAAAAAAACAAUUUAGAGAACCUCUAAUUUUUAUUAACAAAUAAAUACCUAUCCAAACAUGUUGAUGUUAGUUAACAAUUUUAAAUUUGGUUAACUAAACAAAUUCCAAUAAAUUCACUCUUUUUAUAAUUCUAUAGGAUCACUUAAAAAAUCGUCUAAUAUGAAAAACAUUGAAACAUACGAAAAAUUACUUGUAAGUUAUAGUAAUAUCAUAGAUACUGUAAUUUUAAAAUUUACAUUCAUACAUACAUAAAAUCAAGCUCUAAAAUCAUUAGUUUAGGGUUUUAAAAAUUCACUAAGUUUAUACUUUGGCAAACACGGAGGCAGCAUCCGACCAGAAGCCUUAACUAAAGGCCAAGCCGGUCAUUUGACGCAAACCACCUUCAAAAGGCUCAAAUCCUGCAAUUGAAAAAAAAUAAAAAUAAAAAAAGCGGAGACUCUGGAAGCCGAUUAUAGCGUGCGCAGAUACCUCAGAGGCUCACACCUCAGCGGAGCCACCAGCAGCUGCUGCCCUUUUCCAUUGUGGCCCCCAGCACCACGGACAACAAGAUGCACUCCUCUUUUACUUUUCCGCUCCUCUAAGGCGCCGUCACCAAACCCCCCAAGCCCAGCCCCCCGCCUCCGAUAAAACCCAACACAGCUCAUACGCAAUAGUAACCAUUUCUUCAGUAUCUUGUCCCCAUUGCCGAUGGGUGCGUUGGUUCGUCUAGCCGUCGUCCGGAGUACAUCUUACCACAAAUAAAGCAGGCUAGUAGGGAAAUCGUAUCGAAUAAUAUUCCGGUGAUGCUCAGUGCACUAUGUGCUCGCCCUAAAUCUUGGCUAUUCACUGCCUUAUUCUUGUCACAUGCCCACAGCUCGGCAGCGGCUCUUGUUCACAAUCGGCUCAUUGGCAGCCCUCUUUUGAAAUCCGUAGUGGUUGCCAACGCCGAUCAAAGGAGACACCACUCCAGUAGUUGUCGUCUCGUCGACACCUCCGCUCAGGGUGGCGCUGCGUCUAUAUGGCAUGCAAUCCUUCCCGCCGGUGACGGGGAUUUGGAUCUCCACCGAACCAAGAGGAAUGUGCUCGUCCACCACCACGAUGAAUUGAUGAAUAAAGGUUAAGGCUCGUGGAAUGUGGCUUGGGAUGCCAGGCCGGCGCGCUGGCUUCACAAUCGUGAUUCUGCGUGGUUAUUGUUUGGAGUUUGCGCUUGCUUAGCCGCGCCCCCAUUGCCGCUGUUAGCGGAUUCAUCUGAGUUCGUCGAUGGGGAAACGGAUGAAUUCAGACAUGAAGCAGCAGCAAUGACCGUUGUAGAAAAUGGAAAGUGUGCCAACUUUAGAGUUACAGGUAUUUUAGUUGGAGCGGCUAAUUUUUAGUUAUAUAAAGUUUGAUGAAGUUUGAAUAGAUGAUAUUAAUUUGAGAUUAAUUUUCCAUUAUAUGCAAUCCAGAUUACGUAUUCUAUUACUACUCUUAUCACUUUUAGAGUUACACGUAUUUUAGUUGGAGAAGCUGAUUUCUAGUUAUAUGGAGUUUGAUCAGAUUAAUUUUCGAUUAUAUGCAAUCCAUAUUUCGAACUCUGAUGACAAAUCUAGCAUUAUUCCAUCACUGUUGUUUGUUGUUGCUGUGAUGGAAUGAUUGUAAUGGAUUAAUUUUCGAUUAUAUGCAAUCCAGAUUUUGAAUUCCGAGCUAUGAUCACCAACCUUAUUACUACUCUAUCAUUGGAAGAAUAGAAAUCCGUUUUUUGUUGUAAUGCAAUGAUUGUGAUGGAAUGAUUGCAUGGAGACAGGGGUGCCAGCAGAUGGGAGAUGUCUGUUUAGAGCAAUAGCUCACGUGGCAUGGUUGAGAAAAGGGGAGAGUGUUCCUGAUGAAAACCGCCAAAGGGAACUCGCUGAUGAAUUAAGAGCUCUAGUAUAAUCUAACAGCUUCAUUUCUUUAUGUUUCUUUUUUUUUUUGGCUGAAUUUGCCUUUGCUUUUGAACAAUUUGCUGAAUUUUUUUUUCCGGGCCGUAGGUUGUUGAGGAGUUGUUAAAGAGGCGAAAAGAUGCAGAAUGGUGAGUGUUCUUAAGUUUUUUAAUUAUUAUUUAGUUAUGUAUGGAGAGUUUGGAUGCUAUGCUUGUAUGAUAUAUUUUGGUUCUGUUCUUAAGGUUUAUUGAAGGAGAUUUUGAUGCAUAUGUGGAAAGAAUUGAAAAACCUUAUGUAUGGGGCGGGGAACCAGAAUUGCUAAUGGCUUCUCAUGUUCUCAAGUGAGUGCUUUUUCACUUUAUCUCUUUUCAUAGUCUUAAUUUUUGCUCAUACUGUUUUACCGUUUGCUUUGGUUCCCUUAUUCUCCGUAUCCAACUUUGGUCUUUGGUCUUUGGUCUUUGGUGGUUGGUAGGGUGUUUGUAACAUUUGAGCAUUAAGAGCAACAAAUUUAGAACUAGUAGGAGUAGGUAAACUCGUAAAGUUGGUUGGUGAUUAUUAAAGACUGUGUGGCUAGUUGUUUUCUUUUCUAAAUACCUAUUUAGGAAUUAUGGCAAAAGGAAAGCUUAUAUUUGACUAAGUGACUGUUCACCUACGCCAAGAUUGUCUAUAUUUUUGAGUUCAGUAUAGUGCAAGGACCAUUUCAUGUGAAAGAUUUAUGGAUAUCUUUUCUUGCAACAUAGGGCAUAUAUGCUUUGUUGAUAUUGUAGCAUGAUAGGUUUUUAAAUACUCAAAUUUCUUGUGGAUUAUUGAAAUUUUACUCUCUCUUUAUCAUCACAGGGCGCCAAUUUCUGUGUUUAUGAUUGAUAGAAGCUCUGGUAAUUUAAUAAAUAUAGCAAAGUAUGGUGAAGAGUAUAAGAAAGAUGAAGAGAGUCCAAUUAACAUUCUAUUUCAUGGAUAUGGACAUUAUGACAUAGUGGAUGUUGUCUCUGAAGGUUACCAGAAAGUAGAAGGAGGGAUAUCAGAGAGUAGAAGCAGCCUAGAAGCUUGACAUAAAACAUACAAUAAAGUCUUUCACAUAUUUAUCAAGAAUAAAGAAUAUAUUUCCCGCAAGUGUUCCAAAAAUUCCUUUCGGGAUACAAGGAAAAGAUGCUUCUAUCCAUCUCCUACCCAUCUCUUCAAGCCCAUGCUGAAAUGACUUUAUUCAAGCAUUAGAAUUAUUUUCAAUUUUGUAGAUUCUGUAGUCUAUUUGUUUUCUCUUAGUUUCAAUUGUUAUUGAGCAAACGUUAACAAUUUCCGAGUGCAACUGUCUGAGCAAGCAGGGAAUGCGAUCUACUUAAACAUGUGGGAAUUUUGAAGUUACCAUCUGUUUUAAUAUGCUAAACCAACUGAUCAUUCGUACUAGCUGGCAUGUUACUCUUUGACUGGUAAACGAGAGAGUGUAUUUCGUUACUUGCUGUUUUAAACCACUAAAUAACUGGCAGCAUGCCAGCGAUGAGAUAAUCUUAAGUUGAGAUCAGAGGGUUGGUUUUGUCAUUAACCUUAUAGAACCGUUUUUGCUUUGUUUAGCUUCUGAUUGAUAUUUUUUUUCCCAGUAGUUAUUAGCACACGGUAUAAAAUUGCUCGAAUGGAAAAUGUAGGGUAUCCAUGCAUCAUCUGAGUGCAAGCAGUAACGCUAAUCUCUUGGGGUGAAGAUCUUAAACUUGACUUCAAAAUCUCUUGAGUUGCGAACUGAUCCCAAUUGCCAUUUGUAAAUCAGUAUCCUAGAAACUGGAAACUCAGGGCAUGUCACCAGUGCAAUGGGGGGGAGUUACAUUUGGUCCCUCACGUUUUGUGUUACUACUUAAUUAGUAUUUACUUUGGUUUUUGGGGCCUUCGUGGGCGAGUGAGCACUUCCAUGCUGCCUACCUUUCUUAAAUCAUUGUGAUUGAACAGUCUGAAUAUCGAAAGAUUAGAAUGACCUCUUUAAGUGGUGAAAUAUUCCCAAAUUAGGUGGGGGCAUAUUCUCUUUCGCUUCUGACGUGCUGCUUAUCCUAUUUAAAAACCUUGGAAUCUUUCUUUUCCUUCAUUUUAAAAACCUUAAGAUGCUAUCUAUAUGAGCGCUUUUACUCGUCUGAAUGGACCUCGAGGCAAGCGCAAAUCUGCAAUCAGUGAAAAAAUGUACUUUCUGGGUGCCAUUUGCUGGGAAUCGAUAUUAUUCGCACUUCUAUUUUAGCUUCUGGCAUUUUAAUUCACUCCAUAAACGAAUAAUGUACCUCCAAGGAGCGCAAAUGUCACUUCCCUACUUGCUUCCCUGAAGUUAAAAUUUGAUGAUACAAUUUAUCACAUAUAACCAGUGCGGUUUCGAACCAAAAAUCAUAAAGGCAAGUGGCACUUUCCACGAUUUUGCUGAAACAAUAUGCUUCAUUGAAAUUAUAAUAAGUAAACGCCUAUGGUAGCAGCUUCUCAAUUUUCCCUAUUAACAUGUUUCCUCUUCCUUCUGUUUCAAGAAUGAGGAGCAAGAGAGACGGAGAGGGUACCAUACCAAGUUAGCGUUCAAUUGCAGUACAUUUCUUUAGACGGCCAAAGUGAAUAAGUAAUGGCGAUUGUGAUUUUAUAAUCCAGGUCUAUUAGCAAGUUGCAUGGGAAAGUGCGGAUAAAGUAUUCUCUGGAAAUGCUCGUUGACAACCAAAAAAGAACUAAGCAGCCACUCUAUUAUUUGACUUCAGAGGCUGCAAAAUAAAAUGGUACAGAUGUGUCCUUUGGACAAUCCAAAAGAUUCUUUCCAGGCUGCAAGAGUUUUUUUAGUAAGAACUAGGGACAAAGGUGCCAACGUACCCGAAUCCUGCUGUGAAAAAUGCCGUUGAUUGAAGGAAAAGGUAUAUAAAGAAGUGGCUCUUUCCAAAAGCCACAUCAUAACACCCACAAAAGAAUAGGUAAAACCCAACAAAGAGCUCCAAAAGAUGUAAUCUGCAAAUUCAACCACAAUAUAAAACUUGAAUCCAUGUCGUAUUUUGAAUAGAAAGCCACGUUGCAUAUCGCUAAACAAUUCGUGCGAAUGGUAGACUAUUUUUCAAUUCUUCUUGCUGCUGACAGUACAUGAAAGUUAUACAUGAUCUUUUUUUUGCUUUUGUAUUGUUGCCUAGAGUAUAGUUUUGUGCGAUGAACUGAAGGGUUGUAUGUACUUGUACCUGUCUCCCAUCCUGAAACGAGGUUUCUUGGGAACCUUAGAGCCCAACUUCGUCUGUAGGACAUGUCCCAAUUUUUCCGUGACAAUCCACUCGUUAACUCUCCCUGCCUCAAGUAGACCUAUGAAUGUGGCCUUGGUUCGGUGCAGAGACAUUACGUUUUCAAAGAGGAUCCAGAAAAUUACUAGGUGGAAUGAUCUGCAGAGCAUGACGCAGCAAAAACAUGUUACCGUAUAUGGCAUUAUUAAUUAAAGAAUUAGUAAGAUUCUUUAGGCAUGCAGGUAGAAUAAAGAAAGAGGGAGAGACCUUGGUGUCCCAACUGCAUUCAGAAGGGUAAUUACAGACGGAAUAUAAACAGCUCCCCAAACCGGAACUUGUACUUCGGGAAUCACAAUAGUUGCAGGCAGGACAACGCAGUAGAAGAUGAACGUGACCAUAUGUGCUACUAUCUUCCGAACAAGGAAGAAACUGUAUAUUAGAUAAAACUUCUUCCAUGGAGAGACUUUCUGCAUUAACGGAACAUGAAUUGUCAAGAGCGGCGUUGAUUUUUAAUCAUCAUUCUCACCCCUAAAUGAAGAUAAAAACAGUUGCCUUAACCUUGCAUCUAACUAUUUCCAUAGCCAUUUUCCUGAACAGAUUAGCAGGACCGCAGGACCAUCGAUGUUGCUGGUGCCGGUAUGCUUUGAAAGUACUUGGCAAUUCAUUCUUCACCUGAUUGGGAACCGCACAAACAGAAUAUCAGGCACCCUAUAAUGCAAAAUUUAAGGGAAUUUGGGUUUUGAUCUUUACAUAAUGGACGAGCCAAAUUAGUCUGUUGCAGUUUACACUUCAAACGUACGGUCCAUUUUUUUUUUUGAACUGUACCUCGACUUCACCAACAUACACAAAUUUCCAGCCUUUGAGACCGGCUCGGAUAGCCAGGUCCAUAUCCUCCACAGUUGUUCUGUCCUUCCACCCUCCAGCUUCAUUAAGUGCUGAAAUUCGCCAUACGCCAGCGGUUCCUACAUGACGAUCAAAUGUUCGAGAUUGUAAAAUAGUUUGACACAUUAAUGUUAGAGCUAGAAGUCGAGAAAAGGUCCUACCAUUAAAACCAAAAAAAGCGUAAGUGCGGGAUCCAACUUCUUGCUCCACAAUGAAAUGGUAAUUAAGAGACAUCUCUUGCAUUCUUGUCAUCAAGCAUUCAUCAGAAUUCACUGCAAUUAAAGCCAGAAAUUUAUAGUUACAGUAUAGGAAACUUCAAUCUACAGCUUAAAUUGAAGGGCAAGUGAGUGUAAUCUGCAGAACCAAAGGAAGUUACCGAAUUUCCAGCGGGUUUGAACCAGAGCUAACUCAGGAUUAUGCACGAGAAAAGGAACGGUACGACGCAAGAAAUUAUGCUCAGGUUGAAAAUCAGCAUCAAAGAUGGCGACAUAGUCACAUAGCUUCACAUAGCUAUGCUUCAUUCCUUCCCUAAGAGCACCAGCUUUAUAGCCGUUGCGGUUCUCUCUAAUCUCAUACUUUAUGUUUAUGCCUUUGCUUGCCCAUCUCUUGCACUCCUGCUCCUUUAAGGCCUGUAAUUUUCAAUUAACCCAAGUCCAUCUCAAUUUGCACUUUGCAGCAGAAAAAAAAAGGAAUAAGAAUUUGGGUAGACCUGGUCUACUAGACCUAGCGGAUCAAAUUUUGCCACAUAUUCAAGUCUUUGUAGGUUGGUAAGAUAGUGUGCUAAAUUCUGAGCUAUUGGGUCUACGGAAACUGGGUCUACCCUAAUUUUUGCCAAAAAAAAAAAAAAAGAACCUCAAAGUUUCCGAAGCGUAUUUUUUGAUGAUUAAAUGCUAUGCAAAGCUGAUGGGUUUUCAAAAUUGGUAGUACUUUGGGGACCUGUGGCAUGAAUCGAAUAUAAAACACAAAAAAACCAGGAUGCUGAUCGAGCUAAAAAAUAGCAAAAGUAAUAUCUAAAUGAUCGAAGUGAGCAUCUUUAAAUGGCAAAACAAAGAAGGGUAAAGUCAAUUAGUAGUUUUUUUUUUCUAAAAAGAACAAACAAAAAGAAAAAGUUGUAUACCUUUAUUAGUGAGGUGAUUAAGUUAGAAAACCAUUUUUCAGGUAUUCGAUUGGCGAUGCAUGAAAAAAAGUUUUUCCGGUGGACUUUUUGGAAUUUCAGAGUGUGAAAGUGGAAUUCUGCAGCUACUAUUUGAAAAGAGGAACGAACACAUUUAACAUUUCUAUGAUCUAUCUCUCGCAUAAUCAAGGAAGCAGAGUGAACCUCGGAAGUUCCACUUUGACAUCUUUUUGUUUUAGCUACCCCGGAAAGCUACAUUUUUUACGUCCUCAUAUAUUCAGAGAAAUUAUUUGAUUGAUAAAAGUUGGUUUUGCAAGGUGUUGAACCUUGAUAGCAGGAUCCGUUGAAUCAUCAAGAACUUGAAUUAUGAUUCGAUCAGUCGGCCAUGAUAAGCCGCAAGCAGCACCAAUUGACAGCUGAUACACCUAAACGUAAAACAAAUGUUGCAGCACUCGAGGAUAUGAGCAUUAUGAGUAAUAAACACGUCUGAUAAAUAAAUAAGGCAUCAAAAUUGCUGAUAUAUAUAGCAUUCACGAAGUUACUACUACUAUGAUAAGAAAAAAAGAGCAGUACGUACCUCUUUUUCAUUGCACAUUGGAAUUUGCACUAAAACCAUGGGGUAACCUAAAUUUCCCAUCUCCAAAUCUUCCUUCAUUGGCUCCCAUUUGUGCUUCUUCUCAGGUUUCCACCUGAAUAUCUUUAUCAAAACUACGACGAUUCCCAUAUAAACUCUUUCCACGAAUAACAGUAUCGACAUUGUCAGGCACAAAAAGACCAUCAUUUUCAAAAAUGGCACCAACAAUGCUGCUUUCGCCUGCUGCCAUAGACGUCCAAGAAGGCCGAUAACAUCACCCGGGCCACCCUGGAAGGCCUCAGGUGGAAUCACAGCCCCGGAUGAAAGGCUCUCCAUUUCUUGAUCUUAUUUUGUAAAUAGCCAAUAAUAGUCCGCCGGAAGAUUAAGCAGAGGCAGCAGCAGUAGUAUCGCACUACUGCAAAGUCAGUUGAGCGGACACCGGAGCAGUGCAGCACUGGGGCUGCAGCAUGGAAUAUAAAGAAGUGCGAUAUCUAAUGCACGUGCUUUUUGAUUGAGUGUUGCUUCGCGAGAACAACACGAAUGUGCAAAGGCAAUUCUUGCUUCGGUUUGGGAAACCUUUGAUUUUUGCUUCGGAGUUACUCCAUGCCAGAUGGUGAUAGCUAGCUAGCAGUUUUAUCAAAAUCUUGCAGGUUAGAAAGCAGGGUCAAGAUGUAUAGCAUAAUCAGUGGAAGGAUCAAAUCAAACAUGAAAAGCUUUAGCUUAGUUGGUUCUUUCUUUUAAACAAUAAUGCUUCCAUGAUAGGCUUAAAUAGAACCUAAUGUUCAUGGUGCAGCGGAAGGCUAAAUGAAAAAAGGGAGGAGGGGGCGGGGGGCUUUCAUGGACCAACAAAAUCUCGAUUCUUAGGUUUGGCAUUAUUAGUCAAAUUUGCCACCUUUUACUUCAUUCCCUGGUCUAUUAGCUUUCCCAGAGAACUUUAAGAACAGCCAUUAGUAUCAGAGUCACAGUAUGGGGUUUAUGUUAUUCCUUUAUAUAUUAACACAAUUGGGCGCGACAGUAACCACUGGCUCGAAUACCAGCAGCACAACCCCUGAUCAAUUCCCAUGUACUACCUCAUUGUGUAUCUGGGGCCGAAAGGCUGUAAUACCUCCCAGUAAAAAAUAAAUAAAUAAAUAAAAUUACUGGCUCAAAUGGCACGAGUAAUUGUACCAUUAAUUGUUGGCAAGUCAGAAGCAUAUUAAUAUGAUACUAUAAGUUUAUUGGAGGCUUAUCAAGUUAUCUUAUCACGAGUUCCCUGCCCAACUUUAAUCCCAGUGAUCUUUUUUAAUGAUAACUCUCCAAAAAGAGUCGAUAAAACUACUUGACACAGUACGAUGAUAAGUAGUAGUUUAACCACCACUUUCAACCUCUUAGUUAAUUUGUUGAAUACAUUUGUUUGGGCGUACGGUGUUUACUUCUAAGGUACAUUCAUUAGUUUCUUUUUUUUGUUCCUUUUCUUCGUGUGUGUGGGGGAGUAUGCGUACUUGAAAUUUUUAUAAGAGCGUUACUAGUUUCUAAUCUUCUUUUGAUAGAAUUGUUCUCAACAAAUGGAGCAAACUUACAAAUGAAAGGAGUGUGUUGCAAGUUUUAUCAACUCACUAGUGCUAAGUAGUUAAACAAUUAAAAUCACAAGUUGCUAAUAAUUUCAAUUCUUUUCUAUUUUAGGCAAAUUUAAAAUUUUUAUCUUCUUUGGAUUGCAAUUUUUUUGAGCUUUGCAGAGUUUUUGUAUAAAACUACAAAAACUGUAAUGUAACGAUGUGAUAUAUGUGAGGUAAAAAUGUGUUAAAAAAAUGUGUAAAGAACUAUGCAUUAGAAAUUAAGAAAUUUAUCCACAAAAAGUACCUACUUAAAAAGAGACGGGAAAAAACUCUGUACACUCUUAAUCAAAAAUUGAAAAUGGGAACCCUAUUCAAUUGCAAUUUCAAUUGUUAAUUACUUAGCCUUGGUUAUUUUAAUUGAGAGGUCAUUCAGCCUUUUUGAAAUCUCUAUUCUGUACAAAUCCACUCAGCCUUUGUAAAAAUAUAUAUACAAAAAAAAAGGGCGAUUUGCAAUUCAUAACCUUGAAUUAGCCCUAUAUAUUAGGGGAAAAGUUAUACAGAACAAAGAAAGAAAGGAGCUACAUGACAACACUCUUCGUUCAUAAACCUCGUUUUGGAACUCUCAAGUUGUUAAGCACAACCUAGAAAUCUUUGGUUCAUAUCCAAAAGAUACCACGUCUAAAUACAAAAUAGAUCUGGAUCGUAUCAAACGUUUUAUCCUUUUUCUUUUUUUUUUUUUCCCUUUUCCCAUUUUUAAUUUGAUAGCUUGAAGUUCAUGGGGAUAAUUCAAAAGCAAAAUACAAACAAUUCACACCAAGAUAAAUCUCGUAAGAAAUUAAUUUCUUAAUUAUAAGGUUGUCCAAAUCGGACAAUUACCUUACCCUAAUAUAUUCAUGCAAACUCCGAAUAAAGGUGCAAACAACCGUAGGAAACGAACAAAAUAACCCCACUCGAGGUUGAGAAGUAACCCUUGUGCUUCUUUUGGAGUCGUAGAAACAAAGAAACAGAGCCUGCAGCACAGCAGGUAGUCCAAACUCCACCUAGAAAAGUAAAAGUAAUUAGCAGUCGGCCGGUAUCAUUAUAAUCAGAAGGUUCUUCAAUGAUGAAAGUACUAAAAGAGAGUACUUAUACCUAGAGCUAAAAGAUGAAUAAACCUAAUCGAAACUCGUAUUGACCUUCGCCUGGUAAGACUUCGUUUGAGCUUGAUUCUCUGACUAUUCAAAUCAAAUUUGAACAAUAUUUUAUGUUCGAUAACUUUCAAAUUUGAUAAAAAAAAAAAUUUUGUUCAAACUCGAUUUUGCAACUAAACAAGUCAAAGUUGAACAAAAUUUGAAAUUUAUUAAAACAAUCAAAUAAACUUGAACACUAAGAUAUUCGAUUUAAUUAGACUCAUUUACACCCCUACUUAUGUCAUAGUUUUGAUAAUUGGAGGAUACCGAAAAAUAUAAUAGUUUUUGGUGAUUCUGAUUAUUUUCUAUGAUUGCUUUCCAUAAUCAAAUUUUGUAAGAUCUAAAGCACAUGAUAACCAGGCCAUUGCCAUUUGUAAAAUGUACAGGUAUUGGAGACGUGUUCAUUUAAAAAAAAAAGGUAUCCUUUUCCCCAAAAUAGAAGAAAAAAGGAAAUCAUAAACUUUUGUGAGUAUGUAUUUAAAUAUUUAAAAUAGCAUUUCUCAAAAUGUAACACUUUGAAAAGUAUUUUUUUCUCCUGCUCCCUCAUUUCUUCUAUUUUACAUAUAAUAGUUUUUUGCUAAAUUAUUGUAAAUCAAACUGAAGAAAAGGUUAUUCUUAAAAAAAAAAAAAAGUGAAGAAAAGUUUAUCAUAACCGAUUUGCCAUUGUGAAUAUUACAUCAUAACAUGAUUCAGCAUCGAGAUAUUGACCAGCUGUUUUGAUGGAGCUAUCAUUAAUUAACUAUAUAGUAUGAUGAUUAGUUUCAAAAUCAAAAUAUGAUUUUUAUAGUGCAUCCAUUAGAGCAGUCUUGUAAAUCAAAUAAUCAAAUCGCAUUGAACAAUUUUCAACUGUCUAUUAAUAUACUUUUCUUUUUAUUUCCAAAAAAAUAAAUAUUUUGUCACCACGGGGAAAUCGUAAAUCCGGACCACAUGGACCACGGGCAUCGUAUGACCCUUCUGAUUCAGGGCAGGUUGAAACUCAUCAGCAACAUGGGCAUAUGAUUUCCCACCAACAACCGUAAACAACACACACACAGAACCUAAGCCAAAUUUACAAUCCAAUUCAAAAGGCAUGUUGACUUUCGGAUUACACUGAGGAACUUAAGUUCUACACACACACAUCACUCACAAUCGAUAUGGGAUAAAGGGAAAGGGGGAGGGGAAACACCAAGACUAUUGUCAAAGGCUCAUCAAUGGCUUUUAUCACUCCAUGAUUUUUCUUAUCUACCAACAACCGUAAACAACACACACCCAGAACUUAAGCCAAAUCCACAAUCCAAUCCAAAAGGCAUGCUAAUUUUCGAAUUACACUGAAAAACUUAACUUCUACACACAUACAUCACCCACAGUCGAUGUUGGAUAGAGGGAAAGGGGAGGGGAUAGGCUCACAGUCGAUGAUUUCCCAUUGAACGCUUUUUGAUGCAACAAGUCAAAUACUGAGCGGGCUAAAAAUCAACACAAAAUAAUCUAUUGAAUAAUAUUAGAAUGCAAAUUUGUCGUUUUGCAUUGUUCUACAUCAAGUCUUACCACGUAGUCUUUUGUAUCCUAGGCGUGUGUUUGGUAGCAACUUUUCCCCAAAUAAUUGUUUUGCUUACCUCACAAUUAUAAUUUUCAAGCGAUUUUUUUAUUUUACAUGUAUCAUAUUACAAAAAAUGCAAAAUAAUUAUUUCAAAUAGUUUCUCUAUCGAUCUAGAGCUUUUGAAUUUUGACCCUAUAUAUAUAUAUAUAUAUAUAUAUAUAUAUAUAUUUGUAUUUUUUGUUGCUUGACAAUCACGAAGGAUGUUCAGCGAUAUUCUCAUAAUUCAAAGGGUAAGUAAAUGUCAUCGACCUUUAGUAAUUUCUAGAAUACCAAUGAUCACGACUAGAGUAACGCAUUCAAAGCCUUCUAUACCUUUUCAAGUAUCCACGACACUAACAAGUCCUAUUCUACUACAUUUUUUAAUUUUUUUUGUCAUAUCAUUACUUAUUUAUUUAUUUAUUUUGUAGAAAGAGAUACUCCAGACUUUACAAUGAGAGAGGGGGAAAAGACAGAGUUUAAAAGUCGAACUAAAGAUGUUACUAUCACCUGACCACAAUCAAACUGAGUGUAAAAAGACAAAUCACUUGUUUAAAUAUUAACAAGUGAAGUAUUCAUAUAAAGUAUUCCAUCACUUUCGUAUCAAUUUCUAAACAUUACCUCAGCGUUUGCUACAAAUAUGGCUGUGUUAGUAUUAGUAUUACAUGUUAGCAAACAAACGGUAAGUCUUGGCAUCCAAAAUUAUCUGC
rnacentral:lncRNA from 1 species